rnacentral:lncRNA from 10 species
CAUGCUCAGCCAUAAUAUAUAUUUGUAUAUAGGUUUUUAAAAUAUAUAUACAUAUAUAAUAACACAGUGCUGGGAUUACAGGCAUGAGCCACUGUGUUCAGCCAAGAAAACUUUUUUUUUGAGUUAUUUAGAACAUUUAGCAAUUGAGUAAAGUAUACUCCCAUGAAUGAAAUUUGGAGCAUAUUGCUUUCUCUCUACCUGAUUCCUCCAGAAUUUAGAAACUAUUUGUGAGUAUUCUCAACUUAUGGCAGUCUAGUUUUUUGCAUAACUGCAAUAAAAAUCUCAUUUCUUUUGUAACAGGGCACAACUGGAGAAACUGGUUAUUUUACCAGGCUUUGACUGGAAUGGCAUGCUUUCUUUAAAUAAUCAAAGUUGACUUAUAGAGCUAAUAAAGGGAAAGCUGGCCUCAUACCUUGUCUACACAGUCCGUGUACUGGGUUCCUGAUCUGUAGUAAAUAAAGAAUGUCACUUUCUGACAGGCCCAGGAGCACCAAGUUACCUUAGGACCUUCAGAGGAGGAAAAUUCACUCAACUCAUAAAGGUGUUUGCAGGCAUACAUAAAUCUGUGACUGGGCUUCAAGGCUUUAAAAGUACAAUCUGAGAUUCCUUGUAGAACAAAGUUUCAGCAAAGCCAAUUUUAAAAGAUCCUAUAUGGCAAAUAAUUAUUCCUACUGGACUUUAUGCAAAUAAUCAAGCCAAGCAUAAUAGGGCUAAAAUUUAUCUGAUAGGAAUACAAAAUAUUAGAGCUACUGUUGAAAUCAGGUGGAAAAUUUAUUAUAAAGUAAGCAUAAAUUCAUAUAGCUCCGAGAUAACACUUCCAGAUAUUUACCAAAGAGACCCACCAGCAUGCCCGUCUAAUUUUUUGUAUUUUUAGUAGAGACGGGUUUUCACCGUGUUAGCCAGGCUGGACUCAAUCUCCUGACCUCAUGAUCCGCCUGCCUCAGCCUCCCAAAGUGCUGGGAUUACAGGUGUGAGCCAUCAUGCCUGGCCCAAAAAAAAAAAAAACAAUUUAAAUAUGGACUUGACUACACAUAUCGCCAAAGAAGGCAUACAAAUGGCUAACCGGUAUAUGAAGAGAUACUCAGUAUCACUAAACAUUAGGGAAAUGAAAAUCAAAACUAUAAUGAGAUGAAAUAUUACCUCAUCCUUGGCCGGGCACGGUGGCUCACACCUGUAAUCCCAGCACUUUGGGAGGCCAAAGCUGGUGGAUCACAAAUCAGGAGUUUGAGACCAGCCUGGCCAAUAUGGUGAAACCCUGUCUCUACUAAAAAUACAAAAGUUAGCCAGACAUGGUGGCAGGCGCCUGUGGUCCCAGCUACUCAGGAGGCUGAGGCAGGAGAAGCAUUUGAACUUGGGAGGGGGAGGCUGCAGUGAGCCAAAAUCAUGCCACUGCACUCCAGCUUCGGCUACAGAGCAAGACUCCGUCUCAAAAAAAAAAGAAAUAUUACCUCAUCCCAAUUAAGAUGGGACACAAGUGGUCUGAAGACAGAGCUGGAACUUUUAAAAGACGGCAAUUUUCCGCCUGCUUCAGAGGAUUUUCCUUGCUUGGAAAGUACCCAGAACCCAGGGUGUCACCUGUAGUCAUCUUUUACUAACUCGUAGCCCACAUUCAGCUUAGACACUGAGAACGGAAACCACAUCUAUAUAGAAGGGAUUGUAGUUUUGUGGAGGGAAGGAAUCAAGAGUAAGUAAGAGACCAGACUAUCCUCCCAUCGGUUUUAUUGAAGAAAGGUAUGCACAGAUAACAAAUUCACUCUCUUUUCUGAAUCUACAACUUUAUCUUGCAUGUGGCAAAUUCAAAGCCCCAAAGAAAUCCCUUCCCUAUUACUGUAUUGACUUUUAAUUGGUAAUUGUCUGGCAUUUUAAGGAAUUUCUGCAUAAUUAACACCUUUACACUAUUUGCUUAAAGAAAGCCAAACCAAUGUUUUCACUGACUUUUUUCUUUAGAAUAUAAACUACAGCUUUAAAGAUUUGUGACCCAGAGAUCUCAAAUUGUAGAGCUAGGGAAAAAAUAGUUAACUCCUUC